CACUGCCUUCUAUAUUGCUACUUACCAUUGCCACAGUAGUCUUCAUCUGAUCUCUGAGCUGCGGAUAAUCUUUAACUCAAUACCCCAACUAAUCACAUUGGUAGCAUCUGAUCUUGCUUGAAUCUCUCGAUCUGGACUUGGAUCGUUUACAUUGCGAUCCUUUGCUACCUCAUCUUCUGCCACCACCAUCUCCAGUCAUUGCCAAAGCUGAGUCGCCAUCUGAACUCGAAGUCCGAUUUUUCAAUCUGAGAACCUCAUUCUGCAGUAGUAUAGAAGUAAUCCAUCCU
rnacentral:lncRNA from 1 species